rnacentral:rRNA from 1 species
UACGAAGGGGGCGAGCGUUGUUCGGAUUUACUGGGCGUAAAGGGCGCGCAGGCGGCUCAUUUUGUCAGGCGUGAAAGCCCCGGGCUUAACCGGGGAACUGCGUCUGAUACUGGAUGGCUUGAAUUCGGGAGAGGGAUGCAGAAUUCCAGGUGUAGCGGUGAAAUGCGUAGAUAUCUGGAGGAAUACCGGUGGCGAAGGCGGCAUCCUGGACCGAGAUUGACACUGAUGAGCGAAAGCUAGGGGAGCAAACGGG